rnacentral:lncRNA from 1 species
AGGCAAGGGUUAGAGUGAAAGUGAUUUGUUUGGGAGGUGAGUCCAGGAAGCAAAGCUGAGGGUGUGGGGAAGUGAGACAAAGGAAGAUAGGAAAACUGUGGGUUAUCACCAUGGGCAACUGGUGCUUAGUAUCCCUGGGGGCCUCUAGGAAAAACAAUGUGGACUAUGACUCAGAAUUUUCCUAUUUAAGGCCAGGAGAACUGGGACGCUCAUACGUCGACUCCCUAAGCCCCGCGAAGGCAUUGAGUUCCCAGCAGGCGUCUUGGGUCAGAUAGAACCACCAGGGAGCGCUGUGCAGCAAGGCAUACCAGGGAGCCAUCUCCGGUCACCUCCAGGGUAGACAGAAGGGCCAAGAACACAGCGCAGGUGACAACUACUACAGCAGAACUCUGCUACUCUCAGGUGACCACUGGAUAUUGGGGGGUGGGGUUUUGCGAAAAUACAGAGUCUGUUUUGCGGGUCUGGAAUGGGACCCGAGAUUCUACAUCUCUAACAAGUUUCUCCAUGAUGCUGAGGUAGCUCAGACAUGGGCCAGUCUUUGAGUAGAAAGAGGUACAUGGAUUCAGUUCAGUUCAACAUGUGUUUGUUGGAGCUCAGGACCCUGCUGAGCUGGGUCCUGGCUCUAUCCCAGGCUUGCCUUUGAGACUGGAGAGAUCUGAGCAGAGGGGUCAGGUGCUGCAUCCGUUUUACAGAUGAUCUAGGGGUUUAUCCUGCUUCACUUGUCCAGGGUUGGAAGUGCUCACUACGCAUUUGCUGUAAGAAACAGAAGAAGAAGGUAGAAUUCCUGAACUGUUUUUGUCUCUCAGACCGAAUUUCAGCCUAUAAAAACAGUAAAACCAUCAGCUCCCACUUACCUCUAGAUAGGCUCCCAAUGUCUUGGUAGCAGCCCCUCUGGAACCAUGGGAGAGUUUUCAUAAAGCCAUUGCUCACUUUAAUAUUUUAGAAUUACAAAAAAAAGCUAGAGUUGUAAUAAAAAUAGCAACAUUUUUGCAGUACUUCACAGCUUACAAAGUGCUUUCCACCACAUUAUCUCAUUAUGUCCCUUGCUGGCUUGAGAGAAAUCAUCUACAAAUGGCAUUUAAAAAUAAAUGUGUGGCACAUUAGGGCAGGUACAUUACACAGCUGGGCACAUGAUAUUCUAGAUCCAAGAUGAUGAAAAAUAACCAUGAAGAAGGCUUCAUAUAAACAUAUACUGUGUCCUGGGGCAACCGAUAAAGUCUGCAUUUGCUGGGAAAAAGCAGUUCAGACUCGUCGGUUUCUUACUUUUAAACUUUCCCCAAGGGUCUUGGGAACGCCUUUGCUCUCUGUGCAGAUCGUCUAGUUUGACCACUUGGUUUUUCAUCCUGUUGAGACAUGUUGGGCCAUCUGUACACCCACACUCAGGUCAAGCACCAAUAGUGUGGUCAUACACAGUCAACACAGCCCCGGAUAUGCACUUUUACUGGACGGACAGUGAAUGGGUUCAGCCAGUCAGUUAAGAAAAUGAAAAUGAGUUGGCAAAGACUUUUUUGAGACAUUGUAAGACUGCAACUGCUCAUCUCAGAUUGGGACUCGAACCCACUGUCUUGUAAGUGACAUCACACACCUGGUGUCAGGACAUACUGAAGCUCAGGUUCCUUAUGUCUCUCAGUGCAGAAGGAAUUCAGAGAGAGGCAAAGUGAUAGGUAAGAAGGAGAUUUAUUGAGCGAGAUACACACUCCUUAGAGUAUGGGCCAUCUCAGAAGGCGAAAGCACCCCGCAAAUAUUGGGUGGCUAGUUUUUAUGGUCUGGGUAAUUUCAUAGGCUAACAAGUGGAUGGUUUAUUCCAACAAUUUUGGGGAAGAGGUGGGAAUUUCCAGGAACUGGGCCACCACCCACUUUAUGCCUUUCAUGGUUGGUUUCAGAACUGUCAUGAUGCCUGUGGGUGUGUCAUUUAGCUAAUGUAUUACAAUGAACAUAUAAUGAGGCCCCCAAUCCACUGGAAAUCAAAUCUUCUGCCAUCUGGUACCUAGCUGGUUCUAACCAGUUUAUGCUGUAUCCUCAAGGGAUAUGUCCUUCUUUUAAAGGUUAUACCAUGCCCCCUUCCCUCUCAUUUCAGAAUGACCUGGCUGUGAUGACCUUUGCAAUGAUUUAGCUUCAUAUACCCAUGAACUCUAAUUACAUCUAUCAAAUAUUAUUAUAGAGUUUAUGAAUUAUAUUGAAUUUAUUUGUCUUUUUUUUUUUUAGGGUCACAGCUGUGGCAAAUGGAAGUUCCCAGGCUAGGGGUCAAAUCCGAGCUGUAGUUCCUGGCCUAUACCAUAGCCACACUAACGUGGGAUCUGAGCCACAACUGUGACCUACACCACAGCUCACAACAAUGCUGGAUCCUUAACCCACUGAGCAAGGCCAGGGAUUAAACCUGAGUCCUCGUGGAUACUAGCCCGCUGAGCCAUGAUAGGAACUCCAAAUUAUAUCUAAUUUUAUAAUUACACCGAAAUAAAAGUGAAGAUUCUAUUUAUAAUAUUAUCCGAUGAUUUCAUUUAUAAUAACUUCAAUAACCUUGAAAUACUUGAAUGAACGGAAGUAAAUCAAUGUCAUUCAUGCAUAUUUUAUCAGGAUGGUGUUUUGCUUUGUGGAAUGAAAUAUUUAAUCAAACCUCGAAACAAGAGUUUAUUGUUUACAUAACCAAAAUCUUGAAAUAAUAGUUUUGAGUUGCUAAUUUAGCAUCACAGUUGAUGUGAAGGGUCUGGGUCAGUUUCUCUGAUUCUUUUCAUUUUCAUUUCAUGGUCACAGAAUGGCUGCCACAGCUCUAAGCAUCAUGUCCUCACACAGCUCCUCAAACAGGAAGGAGAGUGCUUUUUUUUAUAGUUUUUUUUUUUUUAAUAAUGGAGAAAAAUUAUUCUGAGGCAUCCCUAUUAAGUUCCCUUUAGGCCCUUUUGACCAGCAGUGGGUCAUAUGCCCACUUGCGUAACAAUCACUGGUAAAAGAAAUUGGAUUAGCAUGACCGACUUGACUAAUUAUGCUUAAUCUUCUAGGACCGGGGUGGGGUCCAGACGUCCUUGAGCACAUUGCUUCCUCAAAUCUCAACAAAAUACUCAACAAAAUACUCAUCAGUUGUAAGGAAAAGAGAGAAAUGGCUUUUAGGGAGGGACACGAGAUGUUUGAUGUACAUGUUUUCUAUUGUUUCUUUAGAGGUGGUUUGGUUGCCUAUUAAUUGAAAUGUAGACACAUUCAGGGAUUAAAAUCAAAGACUAAGAUUGAAAACAUGGCCUCUUACUGAAUUUUACCAAGUAUAAAAAUAUUUUGUGGGACAAGCGGUGUCUCUUGCUAGUUUGGGUUCCUUUUGGAAUGGAAACCUUCCUGUCCAAAGCUCGGCCCCCACAUGGUGGUGUGUGUCCGCACCAUACUCAUGCCUGGGGUCUUCAGAGGGGCGGAGGAGAAAUGGCAAGAGAGCUAAAGUCCCUGGAGGAGCUUCUAGGAGGGAAUUUUCAGGGGAAUUUGGAGAUCAAGGAGAGCAGGGCUGUGAGGAGGGAAGUAGAUAUGAGGGGAAGAAGAUUUGAACAUGUGUUACUAUGAGCAGGGAGCCACUCUUCAUAUGUUCGAAAGACACAGCUAAGAUGGUGGCCUAACCUAGUAUUGAUGUCUGGUAGCCAGUGCUGGUGUGUCUUUUCAACAUUGCUCUGACUAUUGUGGCUUCAGUAGGGGAUAAUCUCAUCACGGAUAGUAAGGGGUAGGCAUAGUAUUUUCCCCAUGGACUCCCACCCCAACUGAAAAGCCAAUCUAGAUCUGUGGGGAGGUUUCAUGGAAAUUAUAGGAUGUUGGUACCUCCAUGCCCCAGGUCACUCACGUUCCAAGAUGGCAGUUCAAGCUUAGCCACUACCUCCACAUUCCAGCACACAGGAAGGAAGAAAAGUGAAGAGGGAAGGAGGUCAAGGCAGUGCCAGCUGGUUUCUUAAGGAUGAUUCUCAAGAUACAUGCCUCAUAAAACACAUGCACACAUUAAUCAGAAUUUAGUCACAUAGUCCAUCUAGCUAUUUGGGAGUUUGGAAAUGUAUUUAUUUGUUUGUAUGGCUGCACCUGCAGCAUAUGAAAGCUCCUGGGCUAGGAGUUGAAUUGGAGCUGGAGCUGGGGCCUAGGCCUCAGCCACAGCAGUGGGGGAUCCUUAACCCACUGAGCAAGGCCAAGGAUCAAACCUGCAUCCUCACAAAGACAACAUCAGUCCUUAACCUGCUGAGCCACAGCAGGAACUCCUGGAAAUUUAUUUUUCAUUUUUUUUUUUUUUUUUUUACUUUUGGCUGUACUGUGGCAUGUGGAAGUCCAGGGCCAAGGCUAGAACCUGCACUACAGUCGUGAUGAUCCCAAAUCCUUAACCUACUUGCACCACUGGGGAAUUCUAUGGAGUCUUUAUUUUGAUUGGCCAUGCACUUAGCUAAAGAUUCUAUGACUAUGGAAGAAAGGAAGAGUGGAUAUUGGGAGAACAAGAAAAAGGAGCCUCUUUGAGACCCUACCCCUCUCUAGAAUGGGAGAUAGACCAGCAUUUUUGUGUCCAUUUGCUUUUGUUAUUUAUUUAGCACAAAAUCCCCUUUUCCCCAUUGCAUCUCAUAUAUCUUCCUAACUCCUUUGUUGUCUACUGAUUUUUUUCUCAGCUUAAAUGAGGAAUUAAUUUUAAAUUCAAUAUCACUUCCUUAAAGGCGUUUUCUUGGACUCUACCAAUUAGAACUAACUUCUGUGUUCCCUAGUCCUUUUUCUCCUGCUUUCAUUAUAGCAAAGUGUUCAUCCUGUUUCCCAUUAUCCAUUUUUUCCUUUAGAUUGUAACUUUCUGAGGGCUGGAUGCUGGAUUUGGUCAUCAUCAAUUCCAUAAGUGCCUACAUGAAAGAGAAGUAAACUCAUGUCUUGUUUAAGCCAAGGUCAUUUUGUACUUUUCAUCACUCACAGCCAAGUAUAACCCUAACUAAUGUAAGACCCUUUCCCCUUCUCUUUACAGAGUUAGACACCACUCAAUGAUUAUACAGAUACCAUGCAAAAAGGGUUGGAACAUUACAAGAAGUUAAUGAAUGGAAGAAGGUUGGGAAAUAGUCUUGGAUUGGUGCUGUGUUAGUUUUUAAUGUUAGAGUUUGUAGGGUGUGGAGGAAGGAGGAAGGCUUUGUUAUCUGACUCUCUCAUUUAAAAUCUUGGUUGAGUGACUUAUAUAGGUGUGACCUCGGGUAAAGAAAUUAUGCUCCCUAUGCCAGAGUUUCCAGAUCUGUAAAAUGGAAAUGAAAGUGCUAACGUUGCAGAGUUGUUUUGAGAAUUAGGUAAAACGUCUGCAAAGAGCCUGGCACUUAGAGGAUGCUUGUUCCUGAACAUUAUUAUAAUCAUCAUACUGCAGAUUGGGCAUGAUUAAGGGAAAAGCUCUCUGAUGCGUAUCCGAGAGCCACGAAGCUGAUUACACAUGGGCCAGGGGUUCUUGGAAAGAAUUUGCUACAGAAGGCAAGAAAGGUUAUUACUGGUAACAGAAACGGAGAGCAUAUCAUUUAUACCCCUGUAAUUGAGAUGAAAUUUGGCAUAUUGACAUCAACAAUAUUCCCCCAACAUCCAUUUUAAAAGUUUCCAGAUGAAAAACUUUGACCCAAAGUACAAGCAUUCACUGAUGCUCUUAAUAGUUAUAGCAACAUGUAGGGAAAUAGUAAAAAUGAUGAAAGUGGCAAUUCCAUUGAAAUGCGGGCUGAAGCAUACCUAUUAAGUUGAAUCCAUAGUUAAAACAGCCUGGGCUUUUCAUAGUUCUCUAAGGAGGAGCAGUUAACCCCCAGAUUUUGUCUUUAUUGACAAUAAUAUAAAGUUGUGCAUAUCACAGACCAAAAGCAAUCAGUGACACAGCUGUCAGAAUAUCAAGGUCAGAAAAAAAAGAGUAGAUGCUGUAAUUUUAAGGAAAAUUGGAGAAAUUUAUGUGAAGACUUGAUUAAAAAAUAUCUUGUGUUGGGAUUCCCAUUGUGGCUUAGUGGAAACAAGGCCAACCAAGAUCCAUGAGGAGGCGGGUUCGAUCCCUGGCCUUGCUCAGUGUGUUAAGGAUCCGGUGUUGCCGUGAGCUGUGGUGUAGGUCUCAGAUGUGGCUCAGAUCCUGUGUUGCUGUGGUGUAGGCCAGC